rnacentral:rRNA from 1 species
GAUGAACGCUAGCGGCAGGCUUAAUACAUGCAAGUCGUGGGGCAGCAUGAAUGUAGCAAUACAUUUGAUGGCGACCGGCAAACGGGUGCGGAACACGUACACAACCUUCCUAUAAGUGGGGAAUAGCCCAGAGAAAUUUGGAUUAAUACCCCGUAACAUAAUGAUAUGGCAUCAUAUUAUUAUUAUAGCUUCGGCGCUUAUUGAUGGGUGUGCGGCUGAUUAGAUAGUUGGCGGGGUAACGGCCCACCAAGUCUACGAUCAGUAGCUGAUGUGGGAGCAUGAUCAGCCACACGGGCACGGAGACACGGGCCCGACUCCUACGGGAGGCAGCAGUAAGGAAUAUUGGUCAAUGGACGCAAGUCUGAACCAGCCAUGCCGCGUGAAGGAUUAAGGUCCUCUGGAUUGUAAACUUCUUUUAUCUGGGACGAAAAAAGGCUUUUCUAAGUCACUUGACGGUACCAGAUGAAUAAGCACCGGCUAACUCCGUGCCAGCCGCCGCAGUAACAC